rnacentral:tRNA from 1 species
CGCAGGGUGGAGCAGUUGGAAGCUCGUUGGGCUCAUAACCCAAAGGCCGGGGGUUCAAGUCCCUCCCCUGCUA